GCCCAGCCAGCUCUGCCUCUCCUCUCUGCCGAUGCUCCUGACGCAGACAACUGCAGUGACUACGCCCUUCCUCAGCCCCCACACUCCUCAAAAAGUGCUUUUCUGGGUUUCCACGACUGCCUCCCUUCCUCCCCAAAACGAUUCUCCAUCCGAGGAAUAUUUGAAACAGCUGCUGCCCGUCCUAAUGUGCCAGGGCUGAGAUUGCUGCUGGAACUUCCCAGGGCUGCUGCAGUAACCCCGCCCCACUCCUGGGAAGAAGAUUCUAGGGAUGCCCCAGCUCAAGCUGCUGCUCCAACAGGACAGUCCUACACUACAGGUUUUGAUCCAGGCCAAAAGGGGUACGAUUGAUUCUGCAGUGCUCAGAUUCUGGAUGCAGUAUGAGGGGACAUCGUUCCUCUGCAGAUGUUACGGCUGCUGAAAUGAGGAAGAAGGAAAGGAAAGGAAAGGAAGAAAAGAAGGAAGAAAGAAAAGUCAGGAACCUGUUGAGGUUGUAACGACAAGGAAAUAUUCAAGAGGAAGCCUUUCAGAACCUUCAUACACUUGGUGAGAAUGUAAAUUCGUACGACCACUAUGGAGAACACUUUGGAGCUUCUUCAAAAAACUAAAAAUAGAGCUACCAUAUGGGGCGAUCCAGCAAUGCUCCCACUGGGUAGAGACCUGAAAGAAAGGAAAUCAGUAGGACAAAGAGAUAGCUGCACUCCUGUGUUUGCUGCAGCACUGUUCACUAUAGCCAAGAUUUGGAAGCAACCUAAGUGUUUACCAAUAGAUGAAUGCAUAUAGAAAAUGUGGUACAAAUACACAAUGGAGUAUUAUUCAGCCAUAAAAAAGAAUGAGAUCCUGUCAUUUGCAACAACAUAGAUGGAGCUAGGGAUCAUUAAGCUAAGUGAAAUAAGCAAGGCAAAGAAAGACAAGCAUCACAUGUUCUCACUUAUUUGUGGGAUACAAAAAUCAAAACAAUUGAAUUCAUGAACAUAAAGAGUAGAAGGAAGGUUACCAGAGGCUGGGAAGAGUAGUAGCAGGUGAGGGUGAGGUGGGGAUGGUUAAUGUUAAUGGGUACAGAAAAAAAAUAGAAUGAAUAAGACUUACUAUGUGAUAGCACGACAGGUUGACUAUAGUAAUAACUUAAUUGCACAUUUUAAAAUAACCAAAAGAAUAUAAUUGGAUUUUUUGCAACACAAAGGAUAAAUGCUUGAGGGGGUGUAAUUCUCAUUCUCCAUAUGUAAUUAUUACACAUUGCAUGCCGGCAUCAAAGCAUUUCACUUACCCAGUAAAUAUAUACACCUACUAUGUAUCCACAAAAUUAAAAAUAAAAAUUUGUUUAAAGAAUCUUUAAAAAUAAUGGCAAUGACAUAAUCAAAAUACUUCAUAAAUAAUUUAAUAUUGAUUACAUGUGGAAAUACUAUUUUUUAUAUAUUUAGUUAAAUAAAAAAAAUUCCAACUUCAAAAAAAAAAAAAGAAAUCUUUCAUUGUAGGGAAAAGUAGAAACAAAUCCUGAGGAAGACAUAAUUUUAUUGUCAUCUCUGUGGAGAUGUUCACUGAGAGUCUUGAAAAUGAGAUGCUUUCUGGGUAGAAAGAGACCAGAAGGGUGUAUGAUCCCAAGGGCUAAGAGAGUUUUGAGAUAAAAAGAAAUAAUCAGGCUGGGCACAGUGGCUCACGACUGUAAUCCCAGCACUUUGGAAGGCUGAGGCAGGCAGAUCACAAGGUCAGGAGUUCGAGACCAGCCUGACCAACACGGUGAAACCCCAUCUCUACUAAAAAUACAAAAAUUAGCUGGGUUUGGUAGUAUCCGCCUGUAAUCCCAG
rnacentral:lncRNA from 1 species